GAUGAACGCUAGCUACAGGCUUAACACAUGCAAGUCGAGGGGCAGCACAAGGUAGCAAUACUGAGGUGGCGACCGGCGCACGGGUGAGUAACACGUAUCCAACCUGCCGUUUACUCUUGGAUAGCCUUCUGAAAAGGAGAUUAAUACAAGAUAGUAUCAUGAGAUCACAUGUUCACAUGAUUAAAGAAUUUCGGUAAACGAUGGGGAUGCGUUCCAUUAGAUAGUAGGCGGGGUAACGGCGCACCUAGUCUACGGUGGAUAGGGGUUCUGAGAGGAACGUCCCCCACACUGGUACUGAGACACGGACCAGACUCCUACGGGAGGCAGCAGUGAGGAAUAUUGGUCAAUGGACGCAAGUCUGAACCAGCCAAGUAGCGUGAAGGAUGAAGGUUCUAUGGAUUGUAAACUUCUUUUAUAUGGGAAUAAAAUCAUCUACGUGUAGAUGCCUGUAUGUACCAUAUGAAUAAGGACCGGCUAACUCCGUGCCAGCCGCCGCAGUAAUA
rnacentral:rRNA from 1 species